AAUAUAUUUUUGGAUACCAGUUGUUGAUCGGUCAAAGCUGCUACUAUUUCAUACUGCCUAUCACUUGACAAAGAUAUCAGAUAGUUUGCGUAUAAAACCAUCAAAGUACCAAGAAUACAUGUAUAGAAGUUAGCAUUAAUGUUAUAGUCCUGGACUUUAACAGUGUAACAGUAGAGCCCUGCUCAGAAUUGUAUAAAGACUUUCGCUGUGUGUCCUGAAGCCAGAAAAAACCCACAUGCCUUCAACUGUGCCAUGAGGGAUUGUUAAACACUUUUGAUGAGUCUUUCUAGAAAGACUGUGCCCUUAGUGAAAAUGUCAUUCUAACAAAUGGUGAGAAACCCAAUGUCAAAAACAACAGUAUCUACAGUGGAGAACAAUAAAAUCUGGUUGAGAGUGUGACAUACCGCAUUCUUGUAGUUUUGUGACUGCUAACGUUGGCAAAUACUUUUAAAGAGUAAAAGUUCAUAUAAAAGUCCAUCUUAUGCUUUAACACAUUUUAAAUGGGAGGGCCUGGUAAAGCAGAAGAAGGGGGGAGUGAUAAGGAGUGGUGCAGUCCAUUGCAAAGCAAACCAAAAA